GCGUUCGAUCAUACCAACAUUUGUGCUCCAGAUCCCAUCAUAAAUCCAUAGUUAAGUGUGCUUGGACCAGAGUAGCACUGGGAUGGGUGACCUCCCGAGAAGUCCUAGUGUUGCACCCUU
rnacentral:rRNA from 1 species